UGGGAACCAGCUUCCUGCCAAGUGUUUGGAAGGGCAUGCCCACUUUCCACUUCUGGCUAGAUAUGAAAGUGAAAGUUUCUGAAAGUGAUCUUUGCUGGCUGGGAUCUGAAGCACCUGUCAGGAGGAAGAACAGAUCAGCCCUAACUCGAGGGUGCUCCCCAGUGGCUGUGAACCAGCUACGGGUCCCUUGCAGGGAGAGGCAAGAAGUGUGAGUAAAGCUACAGGGUCCCAGGAUGGCAAACAGCUAUGAUGAAUGUUCUUUUGUUUGCAGGAAGCUUUUUAAGGUCAAAAGUAUAGCCUCUUUACCCCUAGUGCCUAGCAUAGUGAUGGGCACAUAAUAGGUGCUCAAUGAAGUUUUGGUCAAUGAUUGCAAGAAAGAACAGUUAUUGGCUAUCAGAACCAUUUACAUGGGAUUAGCCCUAGGGCCCUAAUAAGUAUCUGAUUGACUGCUGGUA